rnacentral:rRNA from 1 species
UAACAAGGAUUCCCCUAGUAACUGCGAGUGAACCGGGAAAAGCUCAAAUUUUGAAUCUGGCGGUCUUUAUGGCCGUCCGAGUUGUAAUCUAGAGAAGCGUCUUCCGCGCUGGACCGUGUAUAAGUUUCCUGGAAUGGAACGUCGUAGAGGGUGAGAAUCCCGUCUUUGACACGGACUACCAGGGCUAUGUGAUGCGCUCUCGACGAGUCGAGUUGUUUGGGAAUGCAGCUCAAAUAGGGUGGUAAAUUCCAUCUAAAGCUAAAUAUAGGCGAGAGACCGAUAGCGAACAAGUACCGUGAGGGAAAGAUGAAAAGAACUUUGGAAAGAGAGUUAAACAGUACGUGAAAUUGCUGAAAGGGAAACGCUUGAUGUCAGUCGCGUUCGUCGGGGAUCAGCCUUGCUCUUUUGCUCGGCGUACUUCCUGGCGAACGGGUCAGCAUCAGUUUUGUUCGUCGGAAAAUGGCUCGAGAAAUGUGGCACUCUUCGGGGUGUGUUAUAGACUCGGGUCGAAUACGACGUUCGGGACUGAGGAACUCAGCACGACCUUCGGGUUCGGGGCUUAGGCCCACGUUAACGUGCUUAGGAUGCUGGCAUAAUGGCCUUAAGCGACCCGUCUUGAAACACGGACCAAGGAGUCUAACUCGCAUGCGAGUGUUUGGGCGAUUAAAACCCGAGCGCGUAAUGAAAGUGAAAGUCGAGACCCCUGUCGUGGGGGGCAUCGACGCCCGGACCAGAGCUUCUGCGACGGAUCUGCGGUAGAGCAUGCGUGUUGGGACCCGAAAGAUGGUGAACUAUGCCUGAAUAGGGUGAAGCCAGAGGAAACUCUGGUGGAGGCUCGUAGCGAUUCUGACGUGCAAAUCGAUCGUCG